rnacentral:rRNA from 1 species
UUGAACGCUGGCGGCAUGCUUUACACUUGCAAGUCGAACGGUAACAGGCCUUCGGGUGCUGACGAGUGGCGAACGGGUGAGUAAUGCAUCGGAACGUACCCAGAGGUGGGGGAUAACGCAGCGAAAGCUGUGCUAAUACCGCAUGUGAUCUGAGGAUGAAAGCGGGGGACCGAGCAGCAAUGUUUGGCCUCGCGCCUUUGGAGCGGCCGAUGUCGGAUUAGCUAGUUGGUGGGGUAAAGGCCUACCAAGGCGACGAUCCGUAGCUGGUCUGAGAGGACGACCAGCCACACUGGGACUGAGACACGGCCCAGACUCCUACGGGAGGCAGCAGUGGGGAAUUUUGGACAAUGGGCGCAAGCCUGAUCCAGCAAUGCCGCGUGCGGGAAGAAGGCCUUCGGGUUGUAAACCGCUUUUGGCAGGAACGAAACGGUGUCCGCUAAUACCGGGCGCUAAUGACGGUACCUGCAGAAUAAGCACCGGCUAACUACGUG